rnacentral:rRNA from 1 species
UACAGAGGUCUCAAGCGUUGUUCGGAUUCAUUGGGCGUAAAGGGUGCGUAGGCGGCGCGGAAAGUCGGGUGUGAAAUUUCGGAGCUUAACUCCGAAACUGCAUUCGAUACUCCCGUGCUUGAGGACUGGAGAGGAGACUGGAGUUUACGGUGUAGCAGUGAAAUGCGUAGAGAUCGUAAGGAAGACCAGUGGCGAAGGCGGGUCUCUGGACAGUUCCUGACGCUGAGGCACGAAGGCCAGGGGAGCAAACGGG